AUUGAACGCUGGCGGCAUGCCUUACACAUGCAAGUCGAACGGUAACAGGUCUUCGGAUGCUGACGAGUGGCGAACGGGUGAGUAAUACAUCGGAACGUGCCCAGACGUGGGGGAUAACGAGGCGAAAGCUUUGCUAAUACCGCAUACGAUCUAAGGAUGAAAGCAGGGGACCGCAAGGCCUUGCGCGUUUGGAGCGGCCGAUGGCAGAUUAGGUAGUUGGUGGGAUAAAAGCUUACCAAGCCGACGAUCUGUAGCUGGUCUGAGAGGACGACCAGCCACACUGGGACUGAGACACGGCCCAGACUCCUACGGGAGGCAGCAGUGGGGAAUUUUGGACAAUGGGCGAAAGCCUGAUCCAGCAAUGCCGCGUGCAGGACGAAGGCCUUCGGG
rnacentral:rRNA from 1 species